UGAACUGUAUUGACAGGAAAUAGUAAUAGUAUGGCCUUACUUUAGAGAGUCGAUGGUUGGUGCAAAUCGAUGUAAGCUUGCUAUGAAUCCAUCCUUGAACAGGUUUAUCGAAUUCCUCGGAUAGUAAAUAAACCCGGUUACGUACCGUUAUCGCGAUAAGCCGGAAGAGGUUUCUCUUCAACAAGGGUGGCAACGCGGGAAAUAUAUACUCUCGUCCCUAUU
rnacentral:ncRNA from 1 species